GCCUAUACAUGCAAGUCGAGCGAACAGAUAAGGAGCUUGCUCCUUUGACGUUAGCGGCGGACGGGUGAGUAACACGUGGGUAACCUACCUAUAAGACUGGGAUAACUUCGGGAAACCGGAGCUAAUACCGGAUAACAUUUGGAACCGCAUGGUUCUAAAGUGAAAGAUGGUUUUGCUAUCACUUAUAGAUGGACCCGCGCCGUAUUAGCUAGUUGGUAAGGUAACGGCUUACCAAGGCGACGAUACGUAGCCGACCUGAGAGGGUGAUCGGCCACACUGGAACUGAGACACGGUCCAGACUCCUACGGGAGGCAGCAGUAGGGAAUCUUCCGCAAUGGGCGAAAGCCUGACGGAGCAACGCCGCGUGAGUGAUGAAGGGUUUCGGCUCGUAAAACUCUGUUAUUAGGGAAGAACAAAUGUGUAAGUAACUGUGCACAUCUUGACGGUACCUAAUCAGAAAGCCACGGCUAACUACGUGCCAGCAGCCGCGGUAAUACGUAGGUGGCAAGCGUUAUCCGGAAUUAUUGGGCGUAAAGCGCGCGUAGGCGGUUUCUUAAGUCUGAUGUGAAAGCCCACGGCUCAACCGUGGAGGGUCAUUGGAAACUGGGAAACUUGAGUGCAGAAGAGGAAAGUGGAAUUCCAUGUGUAGCGGUGAAAUGCGCAGAGAUAUGGAGGAACACCAGUGGCGAAGGCGACUUUCUGGUCUGUAACUGACGCUGAUGUGCGAAAGCGUGGGGAUCAAACAGGAUUAGAUACCCUGGUAGUCCACGCCGUAAACGAUGAGUGCUAAGUGUUAGGGGGUUUCCGCCCCUUAGUGCUGCAGCUAACGCAUUAAGCACUCCGCCUGGGGAGUACGACCGCAAGGUUGAAACUCAAAGGAAUUGACGGGGACCCGCACAAGCGGUGGAGCAUGUGGUUUAAUUCGAAGCAACGCGAAGAACCUUACCAAAUCUUGACAUCCUUUGAAAACUCUAGAGAUAGAGCCUUCCCCUUCGGGGGACAAAGUGACAGGUGGUGCAUGGUUGUCGUCAGCUCGUGUCGUGAGAUGUUGGGUUAAGUCCCGCAACGAGCGCAACCCUUAAGCUUAGUUGCCAUCAUUAAGUUGGGCACUCUAGGUUGACUGCCGGUGACAAACCGGAGGAAGGUGGGGAUGACGUCAAAUCAUCAUGCCCCUUAUGAUUUGGGCUACACACGUGCUACAAUGGACAAUACAAAGGGCAGCUAAACCGCGAGGUCAUGCAAAUCCCAUAAAGUUGUUCUCAGUUCGGAUUGUAGUCUGCAACUCGACUACAUGAAGCUGGAAUCGCUAGUAAUCGUAGAUCAGCAUGCUACGGUGAAUACGUUCCCGGGUCUUGUACACACCGCCCGUCACACCACGAGAGUUUGUAACACCCGAAGCCGGUGGAGUAACCAUUUAUGGAGCUAGCCGUCGAA
rnacentral:rRNA from 1 species